ACUGAGACCGAACUUGCUGUAAUCA
rnacentral:piRNA from 1 species